UACGUAGGUGGCAAGCGUUGUCCGGAUUUACUGGGCGUAAAGAGCGCGCAGGCGGUCGUUCAAGUCGCGUGUGAAAGCCCCCGGCUCAACUGGGGAGGGUCACGCGAUACUGAUCGACUCGAAGGCAGGAGAGGGUAGUGGAAUUCCAGGUGUAGCGGUGAAAUGCGUAGAUAUCUGGAGGAACACCGGUGGCGAAGGCGGCAUCCUGGACCGAGAUUGACGCUGAGGCGCGAAAGCCAGGGGAGCAAACGGG
rnacentral:rRNA from 1 species